rnacentral:tRNA from 1 species
GCCUGGGUGGUUCAGCGGUUGAACAUCCAACUUCAGCUCAGGUCAUGAUCUCGCGGUCCAUGGGUUUGAGUCCCAUGUCGGGCU